rnacentral:lncRNA from 1 species
UACUAUGCUGUUCCAGUUGGAAGGGAACUUUCCCAAUCUGGCCUUCUUGGCCAUUUUUUCCCCAAGUCCAGGCAGGGCGGAGAGUGACAGUAGCGCAGGGAAAAUAAGUUGGGCUGCAUUUCCCUCCUGCCUCCCUUCUCCCCCCUCCCCGCCUCCUACUCUUUCUACUUUGGAUUAGCGGAAGCGGCGCUGGUCAAAGAAGACUCCCUUUGAUUGCGUAGAGUGAACCCCAGUUUUUGCCGGAGCAGCGAAAACAAAAUUACGGCUUGCGCUAAUUCAUGCAUAUCUUUCCUUUCUUGCAGAAAAGGGCCCUGUUCCCGGGACCAGGUCCUGGCCCUGCGCCUGAGGGUCGGCGAGCUGCAAACGCUCUUUGGGCAACGGAUCCGUUUGAUCCCCGGCGAAGGGGGGCUGUAUACCAAGGCUGCAAGCGAAAAAUGUCAACCGGGUUCCAAAAUGGCCGCUUUCUGAGAAAUAAGCAGAACUCGCCGGCUCUGUGUUUGAUGGCCUGCCUUGAAUUAAUUGUGCAGAAAAAGCAAGAGUUUUAUGUGACGUCGGAUACAUGCAGCUUUGUUAAUAGAUACUUAAAUAUAUUCAGGAGACGUAUACGAGUUUCGCCUUUAAAAAGUAAACAUUCCCGUUAAGAAUGUGGGAUAAUUUUUUAUUUCAGUUUGCAAAGAUUGUUUCGAGGUGCUCAAAGCCACCUGGCCUUCUGUUGGGACGGUUCUUCUUAACAUUAAAUCCAAUAUUUAGUUUUUAAUCGUAAUAAUAUCAGUUUUUUUUUUUUUAAACACGUUGUCUUGCGUUUAAAAAAACAGUAACAACGCAGAGUUCCUGCUGCUCGGCUUUCUGGAGCAGGACUCGCCUUAUAGCCGCAUAACUAAUCACAAAAUGACCACGAAGCCGUUUUGCCGCAUUUAUGCAAAUCAAUGCAGCAAACUGUUUGCGCUCCAGUUUUGCCGCAGUCUCACUACGUGGACAAACUCCCAACCCACUAUGGCGCAGGGAGUAGAGCGCCAUGCAUGCAACCUGCUUCGGGUUGGGAGGGGCUGCGCUAAAAGUCGAAAAAACACCUCGAACAUGGGCGAUGCCUCCAGAUUAUGCCUCUUUCUUCUAAGGAUGUCUGAACCAUAUAAAUAUAACAAGUAGACGGUGGGCACCGGAUGAACAACACUUGUUUUAAGAACACACAUGAUACACCCAAGCCAAAAGAAAACGAAAUGAACGAGUCUUAUUUUCCCGGAUUUAUUUGUUUAAAGCCUCUUAGUAAGAUCCUUCUGAUACCCCUUAAGCCAGAAAAGACUUUGACCGACGGCUAAAGCAUCAUAAGGCUCCCGGUUCGCUUCCUUUUGAAAGGAGGCGAGCGGACUGGCGUGGAGUUCAAGGGGUUGGGGAAGGGGGAAGGAUACCACGGUGACUAGAGACUCUGCCCAUACCGUAAGCAGAAAAAACAGUGCCGAGGGCACCGAAGCAAAAGGAGUCUCUCUUCCUUCAUCCUCCGGGAGAUCUCCCUGGGCCUUCAAACAGGCUUCAUUUUGACCCACCAGGACACAGAAUUUCCACAAAGCCACUGAAGCACAAAGAACAAAACGCUGGUGCCCACCAGAAGGAAAAAGCGAGGCCUUUAAUCCUGGCCUCCUCUUCCUUAUGCUGGGUAUAAACUGGGGCUGCAGCCAGACGUUGCUUGCUUAAGUCAAUAUUUUUGGAUAUUCCAGAUUGAAGCAUUCCUGGGAGUGCUUUAUUCCGGUAUAUCCACAAGUAGCGGAAUAGGUAAGCGUCGUCUGGAUCCAGCCCAGGACAUUCUCUUCCCCAGCUUUGNGGUCUAUCUUUGGGCCUUUCUCAGGCCCCGCCAACCCACCCACCCCCCGAUUUAGUCCUUGAUGGAUGAACCACGGAACGGGAAGGUUUUGCAACUGGCUGAACUGCCAUCGCUCCCGACUCACUGGUGGUUUAGGUUGAUGAGGGUUUGGGGCGUGGGUGGGAAUGUCUCGGAAGGACAGUCUUUUCAGCCACGGANACGCUGAACCUUGGUCUUUUAACAGCUGUGGGGUUAAGGCGCCAUCUUUUCUCAAGGGCUAGAGAACUGUGGUUUCUUUCCAUUCUGAUACGGAUGGAGGAAACCCUGACUGGCAGGAAAGGCCUUCCGGUGUGAAGUGGUUUAAUAUAUCCCAUGGAAGUGAAUGAGGUCUGAUGUGAACAAAGCCACGCAGAAGAAAGAGGACGUUUUGAUUGGAAAAAAAAUAUACAUGGAGAGCAAAAUAAAAAUAAGUUAGUGCGUAUAAAUUGUAAAUAC